AUGUCGGUCAUGGUGGGAUCGUCGGAGGCUGAUCCACUGACCCGCAGGCCGCAGCAGCUGCUGGAGUUGCAGCCGCACACGCGAUUCUGUACUACCAAUUGCCCCACCGCAUGUGCGGUUAUAGCUGUUGCGGCUCCGAUCAGUGGCUCGGUGUUCGAUGAUCCCACCAAGCCGACACCCACGCUGUUUUGGACUUGUCUAGAAGUAAGGGUAAAAAUAGUUUCUAGGCCAAGCACUUUUGGUGGUUGCACACGGCUGGAUAACAACCGUUACCACCCUAUUUGUCGGGAUGUCAUGUCGAUAGAUGGACCACACGUGUCCCGUCGGUUAGCACGCGGAGCUAUUAUUGAACCUGCUAAAUGCCGAUUGAUGAGUUUGGAUGAAAAGCGAGAACUUGUUCUUGAGUUAUCGAAGAGGCCACAAAGUGCUCCUGAGAAACUACAGUCAUGGAGUCGCCGUGAUAUUCUAGAGAUUCUUUGUGCCGAUCUAGGAAGGGAAAGGAAAUAUACUGGAUUAUCUAAGCAGAGAAUGCUGGAUUAUCUCUUCAGGGCGGUAACUACUGGCAAAUCAUCUGGCCCUGUGGUGCAUGUGCAAGAAAAGGAGCCAACUCUCGACCCCAACGCAAGUAACCAUCAGUACCCUGCGAAACAUCAAAGGAAGAGUGACAAUUCGUCAGUCAACAAUCCGCUAACCGCUGUUGUACUCGUGCCAAUAAAUAAUGUGCGGUCCUGCCGGAAUAUGGCAUGCAGAGCAAUUCUUAACAUGGGAGAUAAAUUUUGCAGACGCUGUUCAUGCUGCAUAUGUUUCCAGUACGAUGACAACAAGGACCCUACCAUAUGGUUGUUCUGUCGUUCAGAAUAUCCCAUGCAAAAAGAUUCUUGCGGGUUAUCAUGCCAUCUUGAGUGUGCUCUCAAGGAUGGAAGAACCGGAAUUCUGCCGAGUGGGCAGUGCAAGAAACUUGAUGGUGCUUAUUACUGCCCUCACUGUCGGAAGCAGCAUGAUUUGCUCCGGUCCUGGAAACCACAACUAGUGUUAGCUAAAGAGGCUCGGCGGCUCGAUACAUUGUGUUGCCGGAUUUUUCUGAGUCAUAGGAUCCUCUUCUCCACGGAGAAGUAUUCGGUCUUGCAUAAAUUUGUUGACACAGCGAAGCAGAAACUGGAGGCUGAAUUUGGAUCUGUACGCGGGUAUGGACAUAUGGGUCGUGGAAGUGUCAGUCAGCUUACUUGUGGUGCUAAAGUCCAGGAACUUUGUGCUCAAGCACUUGAUGUCAUGGAGUCUAAGUUCUCUGUUGAAUCUCGUACUAACUCACAAUUUGAACGAUCCAAUAUGAUGCCAUCAAGCUUCGUAAAGUUUGAACCUAUAACGCCUACAUCUAUCACUAUAGUUUUUGAUUUCGGUCGAUGUCCUUUGCUCGCCCAAGGGGUAACUGGCUUUAAACUAUGGCACCAGGUGGAUGGUCCAGGAUUUUACUCGGCAAAUCCAACUGGCAUCAUACAUGCAACGUCAAAAACAUUUGUUGUCACUGAACUCAAGCCAGCUACAUGCUAUAUGUUUAAGAUAACUGCAUUCAGCAACUCCAGUGAGUUUAGGCCAUGGGAAUUCAGGGCAAGUACAAGCUCUCCGAAAGAAAGUGAUCUUAAGGGUUCGGUUCCAGGUGCUACUGGAGUAGUAGACCAAAAUAACAGGAGCCUAAAGACAAAUAGUGGUGGUCAAUCUGAUCGUUCUUCAGAGGGGGUUACAGGAAAUCUGGGCGGUAAUGAUGUGUGGCGGUCCUCCUCCUCCUCCUCCAGGAUCAUCGUGAUGUGUCGACCCUCCUCCUCCUAUAUCUGUAUCUUCUGUUUUGCACAUCAGGCCAAGCGCUCGGCGACAGCAGGUGUGCGCCGUGACCUACGGUUCGCCGUGAUCUCGUGUUCCGGUUCAUUUGCAGUAACACCCUACCCAAAGUUCAAAUUGCAGCCACAACUACCCCUCCUCGUUCCCCAAAAUCCUCUUCCCUGUGCUGCUCACAUUUCCACCAAACUAGGGUUUCUCUUCUCACCACCGGAGGCGGACUGGGCGGUGGUGCCGGAACGACGGAACCGCGCGGACCCUCACCGGGAAACGGCCAUCCUCGACCACCGUCCUCGUCUGCGGCCGCGACGGCAUGGAUUCCGGAGAUGGCCUCGCUGCCGAUCCCCGACGAGCUCCUGGCAGAAACCUUCCUCCACCUCCCUGAUCCAGCCGACCUCGCCCCGCCGCGUCGCCACCGAACCCUCCUUCCUCGGGCGCUUGCGCAAGUUCCACGUCCCGCCCCUCCUCGGCUUCCACCCCGCUGAGCGGCCUCACCCCUCCGCGCCGGCAGCCAUCGUCGUCGCCCUCGCUGGCGAUUUCUCCUUCUCCUUCGUACCCGCCCUGCUCACGACUGGGUCGUCGAGGACAGCCGCGACGGCCACCGAGACUUUCCUUGUUCCGUCAGGCGACGAUAAUGAGGACGCCGAAGCAGCGGCUGCUCAAGAGAAGCUAAGCUGGUCGCCUUUGUCUUCUCUUCAAGCACCGGGCAAUGGUGAGCCAUUUCAACCCAGAAUUGGAGCAAUUUAUCUGAAGCUUCUUAUGCUUGACAGCCAGAGUAUUGAGUUAUCCAUGGCUGAUGACCCACCCAUGGUCAGUAGUGCUGGUAGUCCAGAUAAAGCCAUUGUGGGGACAGGGGAAGGCAGGCCUGGGAUGUUUGUGCGUGCACUUAACACAUCUUACAUCAAAUAUACCAUUAGGGAAAACAGUGGAGGGAGUUCCAGCCAGUGGCAGAGAGAGAAGAGAAUUUUACUCGAUUAUCAAUACUUCUUCAUUGGUUCAACAGGGAGCAAUGCCGCCCACGUCGACAGACACAGACGUGGCGACUGGGCGACUGGGCGGGCGACCGUGCACCCGACCGCGACGGCGCCGUCCGCCGCCGGUGAUCGCCGACGCGUCGGCGGGCGGUUCUGGGCUCUCGCCGAGUCCGACGAAGAAGACGCAGACGACGAUGGGGAUGCAUCCCCGGCAGAGGCGCCGCCCUCACCGACACCUUCAGAUCUCGUUUGCGAUUUAUUCCAUGCAGGUUAUUGCGAAGAUGAAGUGGCCAUGACGAUCGAUCAGGUUCUGCCAUCGGAAGAUCCGGCGCGUAUCGGUCUUCACGCGGGCGAGAAGAAUGAGAUGAUCCGACGUGUAGUUCAUCGGAAGAGGCGGCGUCGGCGCUCAGACCGUGGAAGGGACCCAUACCUAAGUCCGGCAACGGCGGCGCCCGUGACGACAGCGGCGAUGACUACGAUCUCGCUCACGAGAUCACAGCGAUUGACUCAGCUGCUAGGGUCCACGGGAUGUUGGGCCGGAGAAAGAUGGCCGCCUCUUCGCCCUAGGGUUCAUAGGCACGGCACGAGAGGUUUUCCUGCCUGUGGUCUACUUCGGGCUAGGAGGAUCUGCCCGCUGCCUGACAUGGCCAGCCGCGGGGCGGCACCGCCGCCAGCCAAGAAGGCCGCUCCCGGUCCUGUGGGACAGGGCGGGACAGCUCCGCCACCGGCGGUGGCCGCUGGACGAGGAGUCCCGAUGUCGUCUGCCCCGAGGCCGCCGCCGGGCGAGGGCGCCACUCAGGGCAACCCGGGGCGAGGUGCUGGCCCCGUGGGCGCGAGGCCUCCGGGGCAAGUGCCCGUCCAGUCGGCCGCUGGUCGGGGCGGCUUGAGGCCUCCGGGGCAAGUGCCCGUCCAGUCGGCCGCUGGUCGGGGCGGCUUGAGGCCCCCGGUGCCGGGCGCUGCACCUCCUGCUCUGCCGGCUGCGGGUCGCGGAGGGCUUCGGCCUGUUGUGCCAGGCGCGUCCGGUGUGGCUCCGGCUGGCCCCGGUGGAGGGCCUCGGCCUGUUGAGGGCUUGCCGGCGCCCUCGGGCUGCUCCUCCGCCCCAUUACGUUGUGAGGCCGGCGCAAAACCGAACCGUUUUGAUAAAGGUGCCGAGAAGAUAGCGCCGAUUAAGGUUGUGCUGCUCCUCGCAAGUUAA
rnacentral:rRNA from 1 species